rnacentral:rRNA from 1 species
UACGUAGGGUGCGAGCGUUGUCCGGAAUUACUGGGCGUAAAGAGCUCGUAGGUGGUUUGUCGCGUUGUUCGUGAAAUCUCACGGCUUAACUGUGAGCGUGCGAGCGAUACGGGCAGACUGGAGUACUGCAGGGGAGACUGGAAUUCCUGGUGUAGCGGUGGAAUGCGCAGAUAUCAGGAGGAACACCGGUGGCGAAGGCGGGACUCUGGGCCGAUACUGACGCUGAGGAGCGAAAGCGUGGGGAGCAAACAGG